rnacentral:rRNA from 1 species
CUGAGAGGUUGAACGGCCACAUUUGGACUGAGACACGGCCCAGACUCCUACGGGAGGCAGCAGUGGGGGAUAUUGCGCAUUGGGGGCAACCCUGACGCAGCAACGCCGCGUGAAGGAUGAAGGUUUUCGGAUUGUAAACUUCUUUUAUUAAGGACGAAAAAUGACGGCACUUAAUGAAUAAGCUCCGGCUAACUACGUGCCAGC